rnacentral:rRNA from 1 species
CCUACGGGUGGCAGCAGUAGGGAAUCUUCCACAAUGGGCGAAAGCCUGAUGGAGCAACGCCGCGUGGGUGAAGAAGGUCUUCGGAUCGUAAAACCCUGUUGUUAGAGAAGAAAGUGCGUGAGAGUAACUGUUUACGUUUCUACGGUAUGUAUCCUGCAAGCCUCGGUUAACGUCGGGCCCGCCGCCGCGGUAAGACGUAGGGUGCCAGCGUUUUCCGGAUUUAUUGGGUGUAAAGGGAACGUAGGUGGUUUUUUAAGUUCGAUGUGAAAGCCUUCGGCUUAACCGUAAGAGUGCAUUGGAAACUGGUAGACUUGAGUGCAGAAGAGGAGAGUGGAACUCCAUGUGUAGCGGUGAAAUGCGUAGAUAUAUGGAAGAACACCAGUGGCGAAAGCGGCUCUCUGGACUGUAACUGACGCUGAGGUUCGAAAGCGUGGGUAGCAAACAGGAUUAGAUACCCCAGUAGUC